CUGCUGCCUCCCGUAGGAGUCUGGUCCGUGUCUCAGUACCAGUGUGGGGGACCUUCCUCUCAGAACCCCUACGCAUCGUCGCCUUGGUGGGCCGUUACCCCGCCAACUAGCUAAUGCGACGCAUGACCAUCCGUAGCCGGAAUCGCUUCCUUUAAACCCGAGGAGAUGCCUCCUCGGGUUGUUACGCGGUAUUAGACGGAAUUUCUUCCGCUUAUCCCCCUGCUACGGGCAGGUUUCAUACGUGUUACUCACCCCGUGCGCCGGUCGCCGGCGGGAGUA
rnacentral:rRNA from 1 species